CCUACGGGUGGCAGCAGUCGAGAAUCAUUCACAAUGGGGGAAACCCUGAUGGUGCGACGCCGCGUGGGGGAAUGAAGGUCUUCGGAGUGUAAACCCCUGUCAUGUGGGAGCAUAUUAAAAAGAUAGUACCACAAGAGGAAGAGGCGGCUAAAUCGGUCCCAGCAGCCGCGGUAAUACGGGGAUGUCAAGCGUUGUUCGGAAUCGUUGGCCGUAAAGCGUGCGUAGGCGGUUUCGUAAGUCGUGUGUGAAAGGCGCGGGCUCAAGCCGCGGACGGCAAAUGAUACUGCGAGACUAGAGUGAUGGUGGGGGAACCGGAAUUCUCGGUGUAGCAGUGAAAUGCGUAGAUAUC
rnacentral:rRNA from 1 species